rnacentral:rRNA from 1 species
AUUGAACGCUGGCGGCAGGCCUAACACAUCCCAGUCGAACGGUAACAGGAAGAAGCUUGCUUCUUUGCUGACGAGUGGCGGACGGGUGAGUAAUGUCUGGGAAACUGCCUGAUGGAGGGGGAUAACUACUGGAAACGGUAGCUAAUACCGCAUAAUGUCGCAAGACCAAAGAGGGGGACCUUCGGGCCUCUUGCCAUCGGAUGUGCCCAGAUGGGAUUAGCUAGUAGGUGGGGUAACGGCUCACCUAGGCGACGAUCCCUAGCUGGUCUGAGAGGAUGACCAGCCACACUGGAACUGAGACACGGUCCAGACUCCUACGGGAGGCAGCAGUGGGGAAUAUUGCACAAUGGGCGCAAGCCUGAUGCAGCUAUGCCGCGUGUAUGAAGAAGGCCUUCGGGUUGUAAAGUACUUUCAGCGGGGAGGAAGGGAGUAAAGUUAAUACCUUUGCUCAUUGACGUUACCCGCAGAAGAAGCACCGGCUAACUCCGUG